CCUGGUUGAUCCUGCCAGUAGUCAUAUGCUUGUCUUAAAGAUUAAGCCAUGCAUGUCUAAGUAUAAGCUUUUAUACGGCUAAACUGCGAAUGGCUCAUUAAAACAGUUAUAGUUUAUUUGAUGGUCUUUACUACAUGGAUAACCGUGGUAAUUCUAUGGCUAAUACAUGCGCACAUGCCUCUUCCCCUGGAAGGGCAGUGUUUAUUAGAUACAGAACCAACCCACCUUCCGGUGGUCCUCAGGUGAUUCAUAGUAACCGAACGGAUCGCGUUGACUUCGGUCUGCGACGGAUCAUUCAAGUUUCUGACCUAUCAGCUUUCGACGGUACUGUAUUGGACUACCGUGGCAGUGACGGGUAACGGGGAAUUAGGGUUCGAUUACGGAGAGGGAGCCUGAGAAACGGCUACCACAUCUAAGGAAGGCAGCAGGCGCGCAAAUUACCCAAUCCUGAUUCAGGGAGGUAGUGACAAGAAAUAACAACACUGGAAAUUUCAUUUCUAGUGAUUGGAAUGAUAGGAAUCCAAACCCCUUUCAGAGUAACAAUUGGAGGGCAAGUCUGGUGCCAGCAGCCGCGGUAAUUCCAGCUCCAAUAGCGUAUAUUAAAGUUGUUGCAGUUAAAAAGCUCGUAGUUGGAUUUCUGCUGGAAGCAGCCAGUCCGCCCUCAGGGGUGUGCACUUGGUGAAUUCUAGCAUCCUUCUGGAUUUCUCCACACUUCAUUGUGUGGAGUUUUUUCCAGGACUUUUACUUUGAGAAAAUUAGAGUGUUUCAAGCAGGCUUGUCGCCUUGAAUACUGCAGCAUGGAAUAAUAAGAUAGGAUUUCGGCCCUAUUUUGUUGGUUUCUAGGACUGAAGUAAUGAUUAAUAGGGACGGUUGGGGGCAUUCGUAUUUAACUGUCAGAGGUGAAAUUCUUAGAUUUGUUAAAGACGAACUACUGCGAAAGCAUUUGCCAAAGAUGUUUUCAUUAAUCAAGAACGAAAGUUAGGGGCUCGAAGACGAUCAGAUACCGUCGUAGUCUUAACCAUAAACUAUGCCGACUAGAGAUAGGAAAACGU
rnacentral:rRNA from 1 species